ACAGCCGUUGCACACGAGUCAGUCGAUCCUAAGCCCUAGGAGAAAUCUGAUGACGAUGGGAGGUCGUGUAUAUACGGAGACCUUGCGAACAGGUCGACCCCCAUAGGGCGAAAGGGAAUCCGGUUCCUAUU
rnacentral:rRNA from 1 species